rnacentral:rRNA from 1 species
UAGGGAAUCUUCGGCAAUGGGGGGAACCCUGACCGAGCAACGCCGCGUGAGUGAAGAAGGUUUUCGGAUCGUAAAGCUCUGUUGUUAAGGAAGAACGAGUGUGAGAAUGGAAAGUUCAUACUGUGACGGUACUUAACCAGAAAGGGACGGCUAACUACGUGCCAGCAGCCGCGGUAAUACGUAGGUCCCGAGCGUUGUCCGGAUUUAUUGGGCGUAAAGCGAGCGUAGGCGGUUAGAUAAGUCUGAAGUUAAAGGCAGUGGCUCAACCAUUGUAGGCUUUGGAAACUGUUUAACUUGAGUGCAGAAGGGGAGAGUGGAAUUCCAUGUGUAGCGGUGAAAUGCGUAGAUAUAUGGAGGAACACCGGUGGCGAAAGCGGCUCUCUGGUCUGUAACUGACGCUGAGGCUCGAAAGCGUGGGUAGCAAACAGG